GACGAACGCUGGCGGCGUGCUUAACACAUGCAAGUCGAACGGAAAGGCCUGCAUUCCCUUGUGGAUUGGGGGGAGUCGGGUGGCGAACGGGGGAGUAACACGGGAGUGAUCUGCCCCCGACUUGGGUAUAAGGCUGGGAAACUGGGUCUAAUUACCGAUAGGACUGCAGGGUGGUGCCGGUGGUGGAAAACGAUUUGCUAGUGGUUGGGGAUGAGCCCGCGGCCGAUCAGCUUGUUGGUGGGGUAAGGGCCCACCAAGGCGGCGACGGCUAGCCGGCCUGAGAGGGUGAGCGGCCACACUGGAACUGAGACACGGUCCCGCCUCCUACGCGAGCCAGCAGUAGCGAAUGUUGAGCAAUGGGCGUGAGCCUGACCCUGAUACACCGAGUCGGUGUAGGAGGUGUCCGCAUUGUGAUUCUCUCCUCCUUGCAAAGAAAAGCAGCCCACUUGGUUCGCAGUGUGGUGACGGUACCGAUAGAAGAAGCACCGGCUAACUACGUG
rnacentral:rRNA from 1 species